rnacentral:rRNA from 1 species
UACGGAGGAUGCAAGCGUUAUCCGGAAUGAUUGGGCGUAAAGCGUCCGCAGGUGGCUGUGUAAGUCUGCUGUCAAAGAGCAAAGCUCAACUUUGUAAAGGCAGUGGAAACUACACGGCUAGAGUGCGUUCGGGGCAGAGGGAAUUCCUGGUGUAGCGGUGAAAUGCGUAGAGAUCAGGAAGAACACCAGUGGCGAAGGCGCUCUGCUAGGCCGUAACUGACACUGAGGGACGAAAGCUAGGGGAGCGAAUGGG